GUUGUCUUCAAAAUUGCAGCACCAUUUUAAAUUGUCUUCAGUCUAUUCUCAUUACUUUCCUGAAACUGGGAUACCAGAAGUAACGACUUGUCACUCCCGAAGUGCCGUCACUGUGGAUUAUAUUUUCUAUUCUGCAGCAAACGAUGAUACUGCUACCCAGCCAGGAGGAGAGGAUUCUUUUCAUGGAGGUCUGAAACUUCUUGGCAGGCUGGCACUUCUAACAGAGAAAGAUCUUUGGACUGUUAAUGGUCUUCCCAAUGAAAAUAACUCUUCUGACCACCUGCCAUUGCUAGCAGAAUUCAGGCUUAUUGAACGGUAAUAUCCAAAGGACUUUCUGUGUCAGUGAAGUUACCUUCACCUUCUCUCUUCAUGUGAUUAUUUUAUUUUUUUUAAAAGGUUAAUUCAAGCGCUGCUGGUCCGGUUUAAAUAAAGUUUGCCUGCAUGCUGAUUUGUUAGUGUUGUGUAAAGUAGACUUUUUAAAGAACUUUUUUUUUUUAAAAAUGUUGGAAUUACUUUAUGAAGUCUUUAAGGCAAAAAGAAGAUUUUACAUUAGCUUCCUCUUUGAUAAUGGAAAACAUCUGUGCCAGUCUCAAAAUGGCAUUAUUUUUCACAGAGAUGCUGUAAAUGGUUUUUAUUGUAAAUCACAGUAAAACUGAUUAUUCUCU